rnacentral:lncRNA from 1 species
CAGAAAAGAUACUUAAAUAAGCAUGUGUUGAUUGAGGCAUAAACCAACAGUACGACACACUGGGAAGAGUUCAGAUCUGAGCUUAAAAUACAAUCACACCGUUUUCAAGCUGCAUGAUGAGCGAGACAAGGUCAUCCUUGAAGAGAUGGCUAAGUCACGGCUAGUUACUGCUUCUGGGCAGAGUGGUAGUGAGUAACAAGUGAGAUAAAUGUAUAUAAUGCACCUAAGACGCAGGGUGCCCUCCCCAAUGUCAGGUCCCUGGCCCAGCCACCCUCCCUGAAACUGACAACCUAGAAUGACCUGGGAGGGGACAGGCAAGGCUGGAAAACACACUUCACCUUCCAAAGCUUGAUGGUCCUGCUCCAGGAGAUGAGGUGCUCUUUGACUCUAAGGAGGGGGGGGAUGGGAAUUGAGGUCUGGGAGAUGACCAGAUGCCAGCAAGUUCAAGAUCAGAGUUAUUUCAAGAACCAUUUGCAUCCCAAAGGUUGGACCUCGGCGGGGAGCUGGAGAUGAUCCACCAGUUUGUCACAUUGGCAGGAAGGGGAAUGUCAAGCCCUAAAAAGUCACUGGCCCAGACAGCCCUAGUUUCAGAGCCCAGUGGUGAGGGCACUGGCCUGUCCUGACCACCUGGCCUUCCCCCUGACUGGGGGACAACGGGGACCGGCCCAGGCCGGAGGCUCACAGGCCACUUCCGUGUUGACAAAUGUCUUAAACUGGCCAUGAGGACAGCCACCCUGUGGCACCCAAUGAGCCCAUGCUGUUUAUAACAUGAGGUACGACUCUGGACAAAAAUAAAGCCCUGAUCUGCCUGGAGAACAGGUGUGUGUCUGCCUUUCCUUUGAAGCACCAUUGAUGACCCAACAAGAAGGCGCUGCAUAGCCUUUAAGGAGCAGCUUCUAGACACUUUCUAAUCCGAGACAAAGGAGCACCUCUGCUGCUCCCAGGGGGCUGCUGCAUCUCCCACCCCCCUGCUCCAUCAGAGGUGAGAGGUAAUACACCCCCCCAUCUCUACCAUAUCCCCCACCCCCGCCCAGAACUUGCCAGUGAUUCAUCUUCGUUUCCUGGGAUGAAACAACCUUGCAGGUGCCCUGAACACUAACUGAGGAAGCUGGUGUCCCUAAGGUGCCACCCUGCCCUGCCCCUCCAUCCAGGAGCCAGCAGUACCUGGAGGAAAACGGCGGAAGAGCAGAGAGUGGAUGGUAAAAGUUUACAAAGCUCGGGAGGGACCAGGGCUGGGCUGACCCAAGCAAAACGAAAGGACUGGUGGGACUGGCGGGGCCCACCUCCAUCCGAGGCCCCUCCUCUGGGCGGAACUCCCCCUCUGCCGUCUGGCCGCUGGAUCUGCAAUCCUCUGGGGUUCUGAUUGGUGCGCAUUCAUUCAGAGAUGUUCAGCCCCUCUGGCAAACACCCUGCCCUUUGCAUCCAUAUUUUACAGGUGAGCGCAGAGCGCUAAGGCUUUGGUGGAAGGUCAUUUCCAAGGUCAAAGGGCUAGCUCGUGGCAGAGCUGGAAAACAGGACUGUUGGGCCUGAAGCCACCCUUUUACCCCUGUACCUCCCUUUCUAAACCCACCUGGGAGGCACUUUGCAGUAGAGUCUACAGAGUGUGGAGAAGAGUGGCGAGAGGAUUGUGAACUUGCCUGAGGGCCAGGAAAUCCAAAAAUCCCCUUGCAGUGGCGUUAGAGGCCGGGGCGGGGGGGGGGGGGGGGGGGGGGGGGGGGGCCGGCGGAGGGGCUGGGGAGUAGUCUGGCCCCAUCACCAUGACAACAUGCAACCCGACUUCCUCUCUUGGUGUGAUCGUCACUCUGCUCACCCUCUAACAAGGACCCCGGCGAGGAAAGCCAUCCCUAUUCUAACUGGUGAAACACUGAGGCUCAGAGACGUGGCGAGGUGUGGGGAAGGGCCAACAGACGAUGGGAACGGUCUUUGCAGGACAACUGCGCAUUUAUGAAACCGUCACGGCAGAAGAACAUCCGUGCCAGAUCCCAGGCCCAUGGCUGGGCCCAGCUGCCUCCCAUUCUCUCCUGAGGCCAGGCCUGCUGCGAGGUUUCAUUACAUUGCGUGUUUUUAUCAUUUGAUAUCUGUAGCCAGAUGCCUGUAGGCAAUAAAUGCCCUUCUCCAUCAGUUGAAGCAAAAAAAUGUACCUGCCAUGGCUGUAUUUGCUUCACUGGGCCGCUGACUUAUUUUAAGAACUAAAUCUUGCCUGUUACUAUAUUUUUCACUCUGGGGUGCGUGUGCUCCAGGACCGACAGUGAUAACUUACACCCAAGGCAGAGCUUCCUCUCGCGCGAGAACGUAGCGCCACCUAGUGUCCACUUGCUCAACCGCAACCAAAAGAAAGAACAGCGGUAACCUUGACAAAGUUUGCGCUCUCAAGAACUUCUUAACACGCAUUUUUCUCUUUUCACAUAACGGAGCUUGCCUGCCGCAGUAUAUUCGUCUUAUUUUUAAGAUAAAUAAGUUAAGACACGAGGCUCCAGCAAGAAAGCUGAGUAAGUUUUCCACUUGCCAACCUGGGGGGGGGGGGUCAUACUUUCCAACUUGGGUGGCUGUCAUUUAUAAACGAUGAGCUCAUGAGAGACGAGGGCUCAUGCAACGCCCAGGUGCCCAGAACACCACCGCGCAGAAAGGCAGCCCUCCCGCGGGACCUGAUGCAAUCGUCUUGGCUUUAUUUAGCCUUUCGUACCAGCGUCUCUACGCUCUCCGGGCAGGCUUAUCCUCACAGCACCCUUAAGGGGUAUAGAUCUCAGUGUGGGGGGUUUCCGUUGUGCUAACAAAACCAGUAUCCAUGAGAAUGCAGGUUCAAUCCCCGCCCUCCCUCCGUGGGUUAAGGAUCCAGCUCCUGCGUGAGCUGUGGUGUAGGUCGCAGGGGGGAAUCUCAGGGUUAUUAGUAUUUUGUUUUAGGGCCGCACCUGCGGCAUAGGGAGGUUCCCAGGCUAGGGGUCAGAUCAGAACUGCAGCUGCCUGCCUACACCCCACCACAGCAACGUGGGAUCCUUAACCCACUGAGUGGGGCCAGGGAUCAAACCCACAUCCUUGCAGAUACUCGUCGGGUUCGUUACCCCACGAGCCACAAUGGGAACUCCAUCAGCGUUAUUAGAUGUAGGUUCCCAAAAGAACUCACUUCCUCUGCAGCAGUGAGGGUAGAUGUGGGACUGCCCACAGCCCCCUAAACUCAGUGCCUCUUUGCCAAUGCAAGAACCAAAUCCAUCACCCCAACACCAUCCAACAGUUCUGACCUUCAAGCUCCUCUAAUUCUUUUCAGAUAUCCAGAGUAGGGUCUCUUCAUCUUGGUACCACUGGGUUGAAUGGGCUGGGGGUGCUCCGUCCUGUACACUAGGAAUGGUCAGCAGCGAACCUGGUCUCUACCCACUAGGUGGCAGUAGCGUCCCUCUCCCCAUGAAGAUGAUCGGAAUAGCUCCAGGCCCCGCCAAAUGUUCCCUGGGGGUCCAAACCCAGCACUGGUUGAGACCCACUCUUCUAGAAGGCAGGUACACACAAAUGUAAAAAUAAAAAUACUACUAAAACACUUUCAUUACAGAUAAAAUGAGGCUCAGAGAUGUUAGGUAACAGGCCAAGGUCACAUAGCCGGUAGUGGCAAAGUCACCAUUUAAAACCAGGCUCCUGUGACUCCAAAACCUAGCUCUUCACCACCUCCAGAUCCUGGGGCCAUAGAUCACCAACGUUUCUGGAACAGUCUUGCUUCUUCACAGCCCUUCUAGAAUAUGCUAGCGCUAUUCAAAUAAUACAUCCAGAUUUCGGUUUAAAGACAUAAACACUGUAGCUCCUCUCUGUAAGAGGAUCAAUACAGGGAGCGCCCCUCGUGGCUCAGUGGUAAUGAACCCGACUAGUAUCCAUGAGGACGCAGGUUCGACUCCUGGCCUCGGUCAUGGGUUAAGGAUCCAGCAGACACAGCUUGGACCUGGUGCUGUGGCUGUGACAUAGGCUGGCAGCUGCAGCUCCAAUUCAGCCUCUAGCCUGGGAACUUCCAUAUGCCACCAAAACGGCCCUAAAAAGACUGAAUUUAAAAAAAAAGAAAAAGAAAGAAAAAAAAAAUCAAUCCAAAGUGUUAGGGCAGAGAUUUUGCUCCAGGGAAGAGCCUGGGUCUGAGUUCAGUGGCCAAUAAUUGACUGUAUGGCCUUUAUUUGGGGUCAGUUAUUUAAGCUCUCAAAGAUAGUUUAUUCAUCUGCAAGAUAAAGAGAAUGAGUUAGAUGAGGUUUUCAACCCCACCACACACUAAAAUCACAGGGAGAGCACAAAGAAAGGAGUGCCCGGGCCACAACCUGAACCAAUUCAUCCAGACUCUCUGGGUCCUGGGAAGUAACAUUUUUAAGUCCCCAGGUAGCCCAAUGCGCAGCCAGAACUGAGGCUCAUGGCACUAAGACCCCCCCGUUCUGUGUUUCUAUCGUCAGACCCAACUCCCCAUAGACUUGGAGAUCGUCUUUCCUCCCUCCCACGACACACAAAGUUGUUUCGGGAGCGGUCACUUUCUCUCUCUCCCACGACCAUCCCAAAAGUCUUGAACGAUUUCCUGGGACCCCCCCGCCCCCGACAUGUCAACCACCAUCCAGUCCCUGGACUAACCAUUUCCAGCAUCUCUGUCUACCAACCCAAAGUCUGGAAACCCCACCACUGUCAAUGGCAGCAGGAGGUUGGAAACAUCUAGAAAAAGCUGCAAAGAGCAGGCAACAUGACAGAAGACAGCUGUGUCCACUGAAAGACUAUCCCUUUACCGGCCUCACUGAGUGUU